AGUUAAUUAAUUUAAGAUAAAAUAUUUAUUUUGAAAAUAAAAACUAGAAACUAAUUUCUAUUAACUU
rnacentral:tRNA from 1 species